GUGCUCGCUUCAGCAGCACAUAUACUAAAACUGAAAUGAUGCAGAGAAGAUUCACAUGGCUCCUGCUCAAGGAUGACAUGCAAAUUCGUGAAGCAUUCCAUAUUUUU